ACUCAAAUGAAUAGACGGGGACCCGCACAAGCGGUGGAUGAUGUGGAUUAAUUCGAUGCAACGCGAAAAACCUUACCUGCGUUUGACAUGCUAGGAAGUCCGAAGAGAUUUGGAUGUGCUCGAAAGAGAGCCUAGACACAGGUGCUGCAUGGCUGUCGUCAGCUCGUGUCGUGAGAUGUUGGGUUAAGUCCCGCAACGAGCGCAACCCUUAUCAUUAGUUGCUACGCAAGGGCACUCUAAUGAGACUGCCGGUGACAAACCGGAGGAAGGUGGGGAUGACGUCAAGUCCUCAUGGCCCUUAUACGCAGGGCUUCACACGUCAUACAAUGGUCGGUACAGAGGGUCGCCAACCCGCGAGGGGGAGCCAAUCCCAGAAAGCCGAUCGUAGUCCGGAUUGCACUCUGCAACUCGAGUGCAUGAAGUCGGAAUCGCUAGUAAUCGCGGAUCAGCAUGUCGCGGUGAAUACGUUCCCGGGUCUUGUACACACCGCCCGU
rnacentral:rRNA from 1 species